UACGUAGGGUGCGAGCGUUAAUCGGAAUUACUGGGCGUAAAGCGUGCGCAGGCGGUUUGCUAAGACAGGUGUGAAAUCCCCGGGCUUAACCUGGGAACUGCGCUUGUAACUGGCAAGCUGGAGUGUGGCAGAGGGGGGUGGAAUUCCACGUGUAGCAGUGAAAUGCGUAGAGAUGUGGAGGAACACCGAUGGCGAAGGCAGCCCCCUGGGCUAACACUGACGCUCAUGCACGAACGCGUGGGGAGCAAACAGG
rnacentral:rRNA from 1 species